rnacentral:rRNA from 1 species
AACGAACGCUGGCGGCAUGCCUAACACAUGCAAGUCGAACGGGAUCCUAGCUUGCUAGGUGAGAGUGGCGGACGGGUGAGUAACACGUGGGAAUCUGCCUUUUGGUUCGGGAUAACCGCGGGAAACUGCGGCUAAUACCGAAUGCCCUCGUGAGAGGAAAGAUUUAUCGCCAGAAGAGGAGCCCGCGUCCGAUUAGGUAGUUGGUGGGGUAAAGGCCUACCAAGCCGACGAUCGGUAGCUGGUCUGAGAGGAUGAUCAGCCACACUGGGACUGAGAUACGGCCCAGACUCCUACGGGAGGCAGCAGUGGGAAUAUUGGACAAUGGGGGCAACCCUGAUCCAGCAAUGCCGCGUGAGUGAUGAAGGCCUUAGGUUGUAAAGCUCUUUUGCCAGGGAAGAUGAUGACUGUACCUGGAGAAUAAGCCCCCGGCUAACUUCGUGCCAGCAGCCGCGGUAAU